rnacentral:rRNA from 1 species
CCUACGGGAGGCUGCAGUGGGGGAUAUUGCACAAUGGGGGGAACCCUGAUGCAGCGACGCCGCGUGGGUGAAGAAGCACCUCGGCGCGUAAAGCCCUGUCAGCAGGGAAGAAAAUGACGGUACCUGAAGAAGAAGCCCCGGCUAACUACGUGCCAGCAGCCGCGGUAAUACGUAUGGGGGCAAGCGUUAUCCGGUUUUCCUGGGGGUAAAGGGGGCGCAGACGGCGGUGCAAGCCAGGAGUGAAAGCCCGGGGCGCAACCCCGGGACUGCUCUGGAAACUGCGUGGCUGGAGUGCAGGAGGGGUAGGCGGAAUUCCUGGUGUAGCGGUGAAAUGCGUAGAUAUCAGGAGGAACACCAGUGGCGAAGGCGGCUUGCUGGACUGCAACUGACGUUGAGGCCCGAAAGCGUGGGGAGCAAACAGGAUUAGAUACCUUGGUAGUC